AUUGAACGCUGGCGGCAUGCCUUACACAUGCAAGUCGAACGGCAGCGGGGACUUCGGUCCGCCGGCGAGUGGCGAACGGGUGAGUAACGUAUCGGAACGUCCCUUUCAGUGGGGGAUAACGUAGCGAAAGUUACGCUAAUACCGCAUAUUCUGUGAGCAGGAAAGCAGGGGAUCGCAGGACCUUGCGCUGAUUGAGCGGCCGAUAUCGGAUUAGCUAGUUGGUGAGGUAAAGGCUCACCAAGGCGACGAUCUGUAGCGGGUCUGAGAGGAUGAUCCGCCACACUGGAACUGAGACACGGUCCAGACUCCUACGGGAGGCAGCAGUGGGGAAUUUUGGACAAUGGGGGCAACCCUGAUCCAGCCAUGCCGCGUGAGUGAAGAAGGCCUUCGGGUUGCAAAGCUCUUUCGGCCGGGAAGAAAUCGUAUGGGUUAAUACCCUGUGCGGAUGACGGUACCGGCAUAAGAAGCACCGGCUAACUACGUGCCAGCCGCCGCAGUAAGAC
rnacentral:rRNA from 1 species